GUGAAAUGCACCAGAUGCAACCAAUGAACCAAUUAAGAAAACCACAUGGCGUGCGAGCUGCGCAGAUACGGUGGACAUUGCAGACGGUCACUGACCUCAGGGGGCGUGGCUCCCUGACCUCAGGGGGUGUGUCUCCCUGACCUCUGGGGGCGUGGCUCCCUGACCUCAGGGGGUGUGUCUCCCUGACCUAAGGGGGAGUAUCUCCCUGACCUCUGGGGGGGGUCUCCCUGACCUCAGGGGGUGUGGCUCCCUGACCUCAGGGGGUGUGUCUCCCUGACCUCAGGGGGUGUGUCUCCCUGACCUCAGGAGGCGUGGCUCCCUGACCUCAGGGGGCGUGUCUCCCUGACCUCAGGGGGCGUGGCUCCCUGACCUCAGGGGGCGUGGCUCCCUGACCUCAGGGGGCGUGGCUCCCUGACCUCAGGGGGUGUGUCUCCCUGAUAACCCAGAUAACCCUUUUAACAUAUUGUUCAGCUGUCCUUUUAUUUCAUUUGUACAUCUCUUACGUCUUUCAGAUAUAAUGGUUACUUUUUUUUGUGUUGUUUUUCUAUUUGUGUUGUUUUCCCCUUUAGGUUAAAAAGGGAAGAGGGAGGAAAGGAGGACCAAUGGGAGGCGGCAGGCGGAGUCUGAGGAGGGAGCAGAGCUGAGUCCAUGUUUCAGAUUGAUGUUGUUGGUUAACUUCUGUUAUAGCGCCCCCAGGAGGAGCCAAGGGGAACAGGUCUGCACCGGAGCCGGUGGGGGCCAGAGGGGCCGGGGCCCUAGAGGGCCCCCCCACAGCGGACCGGUCAAUACAAGUUACACAUCUAGUGAAUCAAUCAAUCAAUCAAUGCAAGUGAUACCACGAUCAAUAAAUAAAUAAAAUAAAA